CGGCCGCGGGAAUUCGAUUAGAGUUUGAUCAUGGCUCAGAGCGAACGCUGGCGGCAGGCUUAACACAUGCAAGUCGAGCGGGCGUAGCAAUACGUCAGCGGCAGACGGGUGAGUAACGCGUGGGAACGUACCUUUUGGUUCGGAACAACACAGGGAAACUUGUGCUAAUACCGGAUAAGCCCUUACGGGGAAAGAUUUAUCGCCGAAAGAUCGGCCCGCGUCUGAUUAGCUAGUUGGUGUGGUAACGGCGCACCAAGGCGACGAUCAGUAGCUGGUCUGAGAGGAUGAUCAGCCACAUUGGGACUGAGACACGGCCCAAACUCCUACGGGAGGCAGCAGUGGGGAAUAUUGGACAAUGGGCGCAAGCCUGAUCCAGCCAUGCCGCGUGAGUGAUGAAGGCCCUAGGGUUGUAAAGCUCUUUUGUGCGGGAAGAUAAUGACGGUACCGCAAGAAUAAGCCCCGGCUAACUUCGUGCCAGCAGCCGCGGUAAUACGAAUCACUAGUGAAUUCGCGGCCGCCUGCAGGUCGACCAUAUGGGAGAGCUCCCAACGC
rnacentral:rRNA from 1 species